AACAUUGCCUUAUGUAUAACCUAUAUAAGGUACAUCCUGCCCAGUGAUAUUUAAACGGCCGCGGUACCCUGACCGUGCUAAGGUAGCAUAAUCAUUUGCCUUCUAAUUAAAGGCUAGAAUGAAUGGACAAACGAAAAUUUAGCUGUCUCAAAUAAACAUCUAAAAAUUAAUCUUUUAAUGAAUAAGUUAAAAUAUAGAUAAAGGACAAAAAGACCCUGUAGAACUUUAUUUAAAUAACAGUUCCUUAAUAAUAAUUUUAUAUAUAAAUAACUAAUUACUAAUUUAGUUGGGGCGACUCUGGAAUAACUAAAUCUUCCUUUAAAAACACAGAUAAUAAUCUUACCUAAUGACCCUUUAAUAAGAUCACAAGAAUAGUUACCUCAGGGAUAACAGACUAAUUUUCCUUAAGAGACCACAUUGACAGGAAAGUUUGGCACCUCGAUGUUGGCUUAGGUGCCCCUUGAAGAGCAGCCUCUUCAAAUGGUAGGCUUGUUCAUCCUUUAAAUACCUACGUGAUCU
rnacentral:rRNA from 1 species